UCCCUGGAGGACUAGUGGUUAGGCCACAGUGCUCCCGCCGCUGCGGCCCGGGGUCGAUUCCCGGCCAGGGAA